rnacentral:lncRNA from 1 species
CCGCCGCGCGCUCACCCCAGCUCUUGGAGGUGCGCCCCAGAAACUCUCCGCUGCUCGGGUUGUAGAUGAACAGCUUCCACUCGGCCAGGCUCUGGUGGAAGGAUUUCUUCUCAGUCUUCGUCAUGAUGGGCGUGUGGAAGUCGAGGUGAACGGAGGCCGCGGGGCUGGAGGCGACGAGGGGCUCGGCGGCGCGUCCUGGCGACGGCGGCGGCGCAGCCCAGCGACAACAGCGGAGGACGGCACGGCCGGGAACAACUCUUCGUUACGAGACCACUAGAGCCGACUGCGCCGCGCCGCGCCGGGCGGCCGCAGGGGCCCCGGGAGCCUGACGUCUCCGCCCGCCGCAGCCAAUCCCCGCGCCGCUGGCGCGCACCGCGGCCGCUGCCUCCCGCCCGGCUGGGCGCGGCCCAAAGGCCCAGAGCCGCCCGGAUGACCCCGCCCCCGACAACACGCCACGCCCACAUCUCCAAGGUCCGCCCUUGACGCCAGAGCCACGCCCCCAGCCAAGCCACGCCCCAGCCGGGCUACUUGCCCCUGUAGCCCCCGCCCAGGUGCGAGGAAGCCAGCGCGGCGGGGCUGCGGGCGGAAGUCUGCCGGGCACACUGACCGGCAGGGUGGUGGCCCGAGGAAGGUGGGCGUAGGAGGCUACAGCGCUCUCCACUGGAAGCCCAGGCCGUGGCUGGGCUUAGUGGAAGCCCAGCCUGAGACUUAGUGGUCAAAGCCUGGAGCACAUACUUGGCCCCGGAGCCUUCUGCAAUACGCCGUGGCGCGUUCUCCUUGGGGCUCUGUGACGUCUUUAAACGGCACCUGCUGCAGGGCCUCGGGCAGCGUUUGUAGCGUCUAGUGUGGACUAGCUGCUUUUGGGUUGCCUGAGGGUCAUGGCAGUUUUAUUCUAAAUAUGCUAUCGUUAACCAAAUGGAGUACAGUAUACUUUUUCUCCAGAUUCAGUCGAGCAUAUCAAUGAAAUCAAUAUAAAUAUUUUCCCAAGAUUUCCGCUCACUAAAGCCUUGCUUUUUUUUUUUUUUUUCUUUUCUGGCUCGGUCACUCCAAUUGUUAACUACAAUACUUGAUGGAGUACAAGGUUAAGGUUGUUAGAGUUAGGGAUAGAUGCCUGAACCACUCGGCUGGUGUUUUCUUUGCCACUGGUGGCCGCUACGCCUAGGCGGAGCCAGGAAUUCAGGCUGCAUUCUGAAAUUCUGAAACACCAUAAAUGGGAUUUUAAAAGACUCAAAAUGGAAGUUUGAACAGAAGGUGUGGCCGCGUGGCUGAGUUCUGGACAAG